UCCACGGCCACCACGGCUCGAUGGCCGCCACGCAUGCGAUAGUGCCACCCCUCGGCCUAUAAGUGCGUCCCCCGAAAACCCUAGAUCGAGCUCUUUCAUUCCCCCUUGUUCCCCCUUCGCCCCCUUCCUCUGCUGCUCGAAUUUGAGCUCGAAAGAAACUGCGAUCACCGCUGCCACACCGUCGUUGUCACGGCCACCGACGUCUUCGACGUUCGGGAGCACAUCCGGGAGGUCCGCCGUCGCCGGAUUCGUUCGUCCGGGCGACCAGCUCAAGUCGGGACGCCCUCGAGCCGACGUCGUCUUCAUCUUCUUCGUCUGGUCGUCACAACCUCGCCGUUGUUGCGUUUGCUUCGGCGCCUCCCUGACCUCCCCGACCUCACCACCGAACUCAUUAUGACGGAUACCAGGAACCAGACGACACCACUGAUGACUACUGCUACCCCGAGGAUUCCUACUACUACGUGACGGCUGCUGACGACUUGGAGUAGUUAGGAGGAUCCCAGGCAGGAGGCCUUGCCUUUUCGAUCGUUGUUGCUUUUGUGCUAGCCUUCUUAAGGCAGACUUGUCUAACUUAUGUCUAUACUCAGAUAUUGUUGCUUC